AAGACUCAGAAGAUGAUGAUGAACUAUCUUUAAUCUCAAGAAGAGUCAACAGACUCUGGAAACACAGGCAAAGUGGUCAAGGAAAAUUCAAAGGAGUCAGAAGGAUUGUUGGUCGCUUCGAAUCCUCUUCUGGUUAAAAGAAGUUAUCUGUUUGGAGUGCAAGGAGUCAAGUCAUUACAAGAAUGAUUGCCCCAAGCUGAAGAAGGACAGAAGGCCCAAGAAGAAAUUCUCCAAAGUCAAGAAAGGGCUAAUGGCUACUUGGGAUGACUCAGAAUCUG
rnacentral:lncRNA from 1 species